rnacentral:miRNA from 1 species
AAGAGUUAGGAUUAGGUCGUGG